CCCCAGCAGUCCACUGACAAAGGGAGAUAAAUCCCUACUGUUCUGCUCUGCCCCAGGAAUGUCCCCAGCUUCCUCCUGCAGGGGACUGGAAAAUCACCAGGGAGCACUCUUGACCUGGACCAAGGAAUGGGAUUAAAAGGCUACAAUUUGUCUCACUUCAACAAAGAUCCCUCUUCAGCCCAGGGAAUUGCCAAGGAAAACAAGAGGGAGAAUUCAGCAUUAAAGGGCUACCAUGGAAGAAUGGAUAAAGUACUAUAUAUGAAGUAAGGAAGACCUGGGGUUGAAUCCUGCUUCAGACUCUUUAUAGCUGUAUGACUAUGAGACUGAUUAUGGUUCUGCCUAUAAGAAGCCAUCUGAAAUGCUCCCACUCCCUAGUUGACCCCAACCGACUGCCAGCUCCCCCCUUGGUGAUGAGGAUGCUGGGGAGAACAGUUUCUGCCACAGCCAAAUUUUACAACGCUGGAGAGCCACAGACCAUGAAGAUCCCCUGUUUGUCAGGGGCUGCGUCUGGUAACUGGGAAAUGAUCUGAGUAAUAAUUGUGGGAUCCAAUUAUCCUCCCUAGCCUGAUCGGGCAUGAACUGGAAAUUCCCUAUAAUAUUGUCUAAUUAAAUUAUUCCUCACCUCCUCCCCCUUUUAUAGACGCCUU
rnacentral:lncRNA from 1 species